rnacentral:rRNA from 1 species
UACGUAGGGGGCUAGCGUUAUCCGGAAUUACUGGGCGUAAAGGGUGCGUAGGUGGUUUCUUAAGUCAGAGGUGAAAGGCUACGGCUCAACCGGUAGUAAGCCUUUGAAACUGGGAAACUUGAGUGCAGGAGAGGAGAGUGGAAUUCCUAGUGUAGCGGUGAAAUGCGUAGAGAUUAGGAAGAACACCAGUGGCGAAGGCGAUUCUCUGGACUGUAACUGACGCUGAGGCUCGAAAGCGUGGGGAGCAAAACAGGAUUAGAUACCCGCGUAGUCCCUGAG